GUUGCCAAAAAUUAAAGUGUGUCUUUUAAACAAAAUUAUAUAUAUUCUUUGUCCUUCCACUAUGGUACAGUUCUUUUGCAAUUUAUAAACAAUACUGGACUGUACGCGACCAAAUGCUUCAAUUUUUUAAAUGACUGCUUUGUUAAUGUUAUAUAAUUCUUACAUCAUUCAAUAAUCAUAACUACAGCUGGGCUCAGUUUAAAUUGUUUGUUUAUUUCAAAAUUGUUUCAGUAAAGGAAUUAGGGCUUGUUUUUACCUUUAUUUUCAAAUAUGUUUACAUUUAAAAGAAUUUAUUGUUCUUAUUGUACAAAUUUUAAUCUAUCUGAUUAUUAAUCUGUCAGAACGAUAAAAAUCAUUUAGAUUUAAAACUUUAUCAAUCUUAAUUGUUAC
rnacentral:lncRNA from 1 species